UACGUAGGGUCCAAGCGUUAAUCGGAAUUACUGGGCGUAAAGCGUGCGCAGGCGGUUUUAUAAGCCAGAUGUGAAAUCCCCGGGCUUAACCUGGGAAUGGCAUUUGGGACUGUAAGGCUAGAGUACGGCAGAGGGGACUAGAAUUCCUGGUGUAGCGGUGGAAUGCGCAGAUAUCAGGAGGAACACCGAUGGCGAAGGCAGCUCUCUGGUACGUGACUGACGCUGAGACGCGAAAGCGUGGGGAGCGAACAGG
rnacentral:rRNA from 1 species